UACGUAGGGUGCGAGCGUUGUCCGGAAUUAUUGGGCGUAAAGAGCUCGUAGGCGGUCUGUCGCGUCGGUCGUGAAAACUUGGGGCUUAACCCUGAGCUUGCGGUCGAUACGGGCAUGACUGGAGUUCGGCAGGGGAGACUGAAUUCCUGGUGUAGCGGUGAAAUGCGCAGAUAUCAGGAGGAACACCGGUGGCGAAGGCGGCUCUCUGGGACGGUACUGACGCUGAGACGCGAAAGCGUGGGGAGCGAACAGG
rnacentral:rRNA from 1 species